rnacentral:lncRNA from 1 species
CAGAACCAUGAUAUUGGCUGUAUUUCUCUGGAGAAUUCUAAUUUAUCAGAGGAAAGAAGCUUUCCAACUUCUUCCAUGCUUGGCCAUCAGUGUGUCUGUACCACUUGUAUAAUCACCAUGAGAAGUGCUGAUACAGCCCUGGCACCCAAAAGUCUAUCUCAGAUUGCCAACCUUCUCAGGUGGUAAUAGAACUGGGACAAGUUAUCUGCCUUUCUCCUCAUGACUUGGCCAUCAACAGAGGGCAGACACAUGGACCACUGAAAGUGACAAUAGGCCACUGCUUUAUUUCUGGUGUGGUUGUCAAGGCCUCUGACAAAACUUUCAGGUUUUGGUGAUGUAAAAUGAAUGAAUCACAGUCCUGGUCCUCAAAGAUAGCCAUACUGAAGGAGAUGGACAUGAACAUAAAGAACCUCCAUGCUGAAUGAGAAGCCCAUCACAGCCCAUGAUGACCUGUAUAAUGUGCUUCUGGGAGAAAAGAAGUCUCAAAACCUAAGGGAGAUACCCAGAGUAAUUUCUCUAAGGAGUUGUUUGAGAUUGAUUGAAGACCUCAAUUGUGAGAAAAAACAAACUCAGAGAGGGCAGAGAAAGGCAACUGAGACCUUGCCAUACAAUGCCUUGGUGGGAUGGACUUUCUGGUAAACCUUGUGUUAACUCCUCAAGGAAAUGCCUGGGCAUAUACCAGAAUAGUGUCUGACAGUGUGAUGCAACCUAAUGCUGCCUCUACUUGCUGGAAUUUUACUUUGUGCCUCUGGGUGGUAAUUAGGGAUUGUUUGAUCUGAGUCAAUAAAAUACUAUUCAAUUUCCCCUGCAGACAUCAGAGAUGCAUUUAUUACAGUAAAAAUAUUUUCCCAUGCCACUAUUUGAAUUUAAAGCAUACAUGUCUGCUCAUUUAAUUUCUAGCUACUUACACCAGCUUUUUAACAUAUAGACUAAGUGCAAAUUAAAAACACAAGGACAUUACUCAUGUUUCUGGAGGUAAAGAUGGAUGGAUGUUCAGUAAAUUACACCUUCUAUAGAAGCUGCUAUUGAUGAAGCUUAUGAAGUUUAAUUUCUUGAUUUAUCUGCACUGGCUAACUCCCAUGACCGUCUAUAUUCUGAAGCUUAGAUUAAACAGAUCAUGCAAGAAACACCUACAUUCAGAAUUUGAGAAGUCCCUUUGAAAAUUCAAUGGAAUCCUUUGUAAUAAAUUUCUAAAUCACAUAUGUGUCAGAUAUAUUGUGGUCCAAAUCCUGCCAUUCCAUUCAUUAUAAACGUUCACCUUAAAGCAGAAUUUCUCUGUAAAGCUGGUAGCAAUCCUUUUUCACACUUCCUGUAUUAUUACAGAGAGGUGCCGUUUUGUGUAACAACUUAUGAGGCUGCUAGUGGUAACUUCAGUUGUAGCAGCAGUAGACUUGGGGGACAGACAAAAGAUCUUGCAUUUGUCUGUUGAUUAAGUGAUAAGCACCAUCAAUACGUUCACAAAGAAUAGGGGAGGAAAUAACACCCUGACUCAAUGCUGUUGCCACCUUGGGUAUGUGAAUCCAUUGGUAUUCUUGUUAAUUUGAUGAAAUAUAAGCUCUAAAUUUAGAAACUGAAUAUUUUCUGUUUACUUCAUUACACUGUAUUAUAUGACAUUAAAGAGCAGAUUAAGCAAGAAGUAUGAUGUUUAAUAUAAAAAGUACUAAUAUUAUAUUUCCAGUUAAAAAAAGGUCUUCCAAACAAGUGAAGGAAUUUAUAUGUUGUAUCAAAU